GAUGAACGCUAGCGGCAGGCCUAACACAUGCAAGUCGAGGGGGAAGUUACUUUCGGGUGACUGAGACCGGCGUACGGGUGCGUAACGCGUAUACAAUCUGCCUUUCACUGGGGGAUAGCCCGAAGAAAUUUGGAUUAAUACCCCAUAGCAUAUAGGGACGUCAUCGUUUUUAUAUUAAAGCUUAGGUGGUGAAAGAUGAGUAUGCGUUCUAUUAGCUAGUUGGAGAGGUAACGGCUCCCCAAGGCGAUGAUAGAUAGGGGUUCUGAGAGGGAUGUCCCCCACACUGGUACUGAGAUACGGACCAGACUCCUACGGGAGGCAGCAGUGAGGAAUAUUGUGCAAUGGCCGGAAGACUGAUCCAGCCAUGCCGCGGGCAGGAGGUAGGUCUUAUGGAUUGUAAACUGCUUUUGUAAGGGAAGAAUAAGGGCUACGCGUAGUUUGAUGACGGUACCUUACGAAUAAGCAUCGGCUAACUCCGUG
rnacentral:rRNA from 1 species